GAUAGUUGGUGAGGUAACGGCCCACCAAGUCGACGAUGGGUAGCCGGACUGAGAGGUUGACCGGCCACACUGGAACUGAGAAACGGUCCAGACUCCUACGGGAGGCAGCAGUGGGGAAUAUUGGGCAAUGGGGGAAACCCUGACCCAGCAACGCCGCGUGAGGGAAGAAGGUUUUCGGAUUGUAAACCUCUGUCUUGUGGGAAGAAGGAAGUGACGGUACCACAAGAGGAAGCCCCGGCUAACUACGUGCCAGCAGCCGCGGUAAUACGUAGGGGGCGAGCGUUGUCCGGAAUUACUGGGCGUAAAGGGCGCGUAGGCGGCUAAUUAAGUCAGGCGUGAAACCCCCGGGCUCAACUUGGGGCAUGCGCAUGAGACUGGUUGGCUUGAGUGCAGGAGAGGAAAGCGGAAUUCCUAGUGUAGCGGUGAAAUGCGUAGAUAUUAGGAGGAACACCAGUGGCGAAGGCGGCUUUCUGGACUGUAACUGACGCUGAUGCGCGAAAGCGUGGGGAGCAAACAGGAUUAGAUACCCUGGUAGUCCACGCCGUAAACGAUGGAUACUAGGUGUAGGGGGUAUCGACCCCCCCUGUGCCGCAGUUAACACAAUA
rnacentral:rRNA from 1 species